rnacentral:rRNA from 1 species
AUACGGAGGAUGCGAGCGUUAUCCGGAUUUAUUGGGUUUAAAGGGAGCGUAGGCGGGAGCUUAAGUCAGCGGUUAAAUGGUGCGGCUCAACCGUGCCCUGCCGUUGAAACUGGGUUUCUUGAGAGUGCAAGAGGCGGAUGGAAUUCAUGGUGUAGCGGUGAAAUGCUUAGAUAUCAUGAAGAACUCCGGUUGCGGGGGCAGUCCGCUGUGGCACGGCUGACGCUGAUGCUCGAAGGUGCGGGAAUCAAACAGGAGUAGAAGCCCUGAUAGUCCGCACGGUAAACGAUUAUUACCCGCUGUCGGCAGCAGACAGUCGGCGGCCAAGCGAAAGCGAUAAGUAAUCCACCUGGGGAGUACGCCGGCAACGGUGAAACUCAAAUGAAUUGACGGGG